AGAGUUUGAUCCUGGCUCAGGACGAACUUUGGCGGCGUGCUUAACACAUGCAAGUCGAACGGAAAGGCCCUUCGGGGUACUCGAGUGGCGAACGGGUGAGUAACACGUGGGUGAUCUGCCCUGCACUCUGGGAUAAGCCUGGGAAACUGGGUCUAAUACCGGAUAGGACCGCAUGCUUCAUGGUGUGUGGUGCAAAGCUUUUGCGGUGUGGGAUGAGCCCGCGGCCUAUCAGCUUGUUGGUGGGGUAAUGGCCUACCAAGGCGACGACGGGUAGCCGGCCUGAGAGGGUGACCGGCCACACUGGGACUGAGAUACGGCCCAGACUCCUACGGGAGGCAGCAGUGGGGAAUAUUGCACAAUGGGCGCAAGCCCGAUGCAGCGACGCCGCGUGAGGGAUGACGGCCUUCGGGUUGUAAACCUCUUUCAGUAGGGACGAAGCGAAAGUGACGGUACCUACAGAAGAAGGACCGGCCAACUACGUGCCAGCAGCCGCGGUAAUACGUAGGGUCCGAGCGUUGUCCGGAAUUACUGGGCGUAAAGAGCUCGUAGGUGGUUUGUCGCGUUGUUCGUGAAAACUCACAGCUUAACUGUGGGCGUGCGGGCGAUACGGGCAGACUAGAGUACUGCAGGGGAGACUGGAAUUCCUGGUGUAGCGGUGGAACGCGCAGAUAUCAGGAGGAACACCGGUGGCGAAGGCGGGUCUCUGGGCAGUAACUGACGCUGAGGAGCGAAAGCGUGGGUAGCGAACAGGAUUAGAUCCCCUGGUAGUCCACGCCGUAAAUGGCCCUUAUGGGUGUGGGUUUCCUUCCUUGGGAUCCGUGCCGUAGCUAACGCAUUAAGUACCCCGCCUGGGGAGUACGGUCGCAAGACUAAAACUCAAAGGAAUUGACGGGGGCCCGCACAAGCGGCGGAGCAUGUGGAUUAAUUCGAUGCAACGCGAAGAACCUUACCUGGGUUUGACAUGCACAGGACGUAUCUAGAGAUAGGUAUUCCCUUGUGGCCUGUGUGCAGGUGGUGCAUGGCUGUCGUCAGCUCGUGUCGUGAGAUGUUGGGUUAAGUCCCGCAACGAGCGCAACCCUUGUCCUAUGUUGCCAGCGGGUAAUGCCGGGGACUCGUAGGAGACUGCCGGGGUCAACUCGGAGGAAGGUGGGGAUGACGUCAAGUCAUCAUGCCCCUUAUGUCCAGGGCUUCACACAUGCUACAAUGGCCAGUACAGAGGGCUGCGAAGCCGUAAGGUGGAGCGAAUCCCUUAAAGCUGGUCUCAGUUCGGAUUGGGGUCUGCAACUCGACCCCAUGAAGUCGGAGUCGCUAGUAAUCGCAGAUCAGCAACGCUGCGGUGAAUACGUUCCCGGGCCUUGCACUCACCGCCCGUCA
rnacentral:rRNA from 1 species